GCCGGCAUAGCUCAGCUGGUAGAGCAACCGCCUUGUAAGCGGUAGGUCCCCUGUUCGACUCAGGGUGCCGGCACCC
rnacentral:tRNA from 1 species